GUCAUAUGCUUGUCUCAAAGAUUAAGCCAUGCAUGUCUCAGUACAAGCCAAAUUAAGGUGAAACCGCGAAAGGCUCAUUAAAUCAGUUAUGGUUCCUUAGAUCGUACCCACAAUUACUUGGAUAACUGUGGUAAUUCUAGAGCUAAUACAUGCAAACAGAGCUCCGACCGGAGACGGAAGGAGUGCUUUUAUUAGAUCAAAACCAAUCGGUGGCGAGCUCGCUCGUUAUCGUACAACUUGGUGACUCUGAAUAACUUUACGCUGAUCGCACGGUCAUCGCACCGGCGACGCAUCUUUCAAAUGUCUGCCUUAUCAACUGUCGAUGGUAGGUUCUGCGCCUACCAUGGUUGUAACGGGUAACGGGGAAUCAGGGUUCGAUUCCGGAGAGGGAGCCUGAGAAACGGCUACCACAUCCAAGGAAGGCAGCAGGCGCGCAAAUUACCCACUCCCGGCACGGGGAGGUAGUGACGAAAAAUAACGAUACGGGACUCAUCCGAGGCCCCGUAAUCGGAAUGAGUACACUCUAAACCCUUUAACGAGGAUCAAUUGGAGGGCAAGUCUGGUGCCAGCAGCCGCGG
rnacentral:rRNA from 1 species